GACGAACGCUGGCGGCGUGCCUAAUACAUGCAAGUAGAACGCUGAAGCGAGGAGCUUACUCUUCUUGGAUGAGUUGCGAACGGGUGAGUAACGCGUAGGUAACCUGCCUUGUAGCGGGGGAUAACUAUUGGAAACGAUAGCUAAUACCGCAUAACAAUGGAUGACACAUGUCAUUUAUUUGAAAGGGGCAAUUGCUCCACUACAAGAUGGACCUGCGUUGUAUUAGCUAGUAGGUGAGGUAAUGGCUCACCUAGGCGACGAUACAUAGCCGACCUGAGAGGGUGAUCGGCCACACUGGGACUGAGACACGGCCCAGACUCCUACGGGAGGCAGCAGUAGGGAAUCUUCGGCAAUGGGGGCAACCCUGACCGAGCAACGCCGCGUGAGGGAAGAAGGUUUUCGGAUCGGAAAGCUCGGUUGUAAGUCAAGAACGGGUGUGAGAGUGGAAAGUUCACACUGUGACGGUAGCUUACCAGAAAGGGACGGCUAACUACGUG
rnacentral:rRNA from 1 species